UAAGACGAACCGUGCGAACGUUGUUCGGAAUCACUGGGCUUAAAGGGCGCGUAGGCGGCUUGUCAAGUCAGGGGUGAAAUCUUUCGGCUCAACCGGAAAAGUGCCUUUGAUACUGACAAGCUAGAGGGAAGUAGGGGCAUGUGGAACUUCUGGUGGAGCGGUGAAAUGCGUUGAUAUCAGAAGGAACGCCGGUGGCGAAAGCGACGUGCUGGACUUCUUCUGACGCUGAGGCGCGAAAGCUAGGGGAGCAAACGGGAUUAGAUACCCCGGUAGUCCUAGCCCUAAACGAUGGGUACUAGAUUGUAGACUUAACAUGGGUUUACAGUCGAAGCAAAAGUGUUAAGUACCCCGCCUGGGGAGUAUGGUCGCAAGGCUG
rnacentral:rRNA from 1 species